rnacentral:misc_RNA from 1 species
GAGAGAUAAUUAAUGGGUUCUCUAGGAGAUGAAACUACAAGGAACAAGGCAAUGUGGCUCUAUCCUAAAGUGCUCGGAUUUAAUCCACCUGAGAGAUGGGGGCACUCUGCUUGCUAUUCUCAUGGAGUUGUUUAUGUCUUUGGGGGGUGUUGUGGUGGCUUGCAUUUCAGUGAUGUUCUCAUGUUAAAUCUUGAUACAAUGUCUUGGAACAUUCUGGCAACUACUGGCCAAGGACCUGGCCCGAGAGACAGCCACAGUGCUGUUCUCGUCGGGCGCCAGAUGUUUGUAUUUGGAGGCACAAAUGGCUCUAAGAAAGUAAAUUAUCUUCACGUAUUAGACCUUGUUACCAAAGAGUGGAUAAGCCCUGAAUGUAAAGGCACUCCCCCGUGCCCUCGCGAGAGUCACACUGCUACACUUAUCGGUGAUGAUAGAAUAAUGAUAUUUGGGGGCAGUGGAGAAGGAGAAGCAAAUUAUUUAAAUGAUUUGCACAUUUUAGACCUCAAGAUCAUGAGAUGGAGUUCUCCUGAGGUGAAGGGAGACAUUCCUGUUCCUAGGGACAGUCACGGAGCUGUCACAAUAGGUAAUGAACUUUUCGUGUAUGGUGGUGAUUGCGGUGACAGAUACCUUGGUGAUGUCGAUGUGCUUAAUACUGACACACUGACUUGGACGAAGCUUCUUGUUCAAGGAUGUUCUCCAGGUGUCAGAGCAGGUCAUGCUGCUGUGAGCAUUGGGAAUAAGGCAAUUAAUGCUUGAAUUAUGCUCAUUUGUUCAAUUAGUUUUCAGAAAUGAGAGGCAAUGUGUUUUUUAUUAUCUGCAGUUUUAUGUCAUUGGCGGGGUUGGAGAUAAACAUUACUACAAUGAUGUUUGGGUCCUUGAUGUGGUUACUUGUUCGUGGACUCAGCUUGAUGUACAUGGCCUGCAACCUCAAGGGCGGUUUUCUCACACUGCUGUAGUUACAGACUCUGAUAUUGCCAUCUAUGGAGGGUGCGGAGAGGAUGAACAUCCUCUUAAUGAGUUGCUGGUCUUGCAGCUUGGAGCAGAGGAUCACGAUGGCCGUUACAACACAUCCAUGUGCAAGAUUUUUGGAAAACACUGGAACCAAGAAAAGGGGAGAUCCCCUCGGGGAGCAGAAAAUAACUCGAGAGCUAUCUAUUUGGGAAAUGAUAAAAUAAUCAGAAAGGGAGCUCACGAACCAGAAUUAGAAACAAAGCAAGCUUUUUGGUUCAGUUCAGAUACUCAAUAUCCAAAGAGGAAAAGAACCGUGAACUCAAAGUCAUGGGAAGUUGAACCAGAACAGGAGGAGCAUUCUCUUUCACUCUCUCAACAUUCAUCUCCAUCACAAUCUGACCAAGAACAGACCCCAGUUGGAAAACCUGCAGAUUUCAGAGCAGCGGCACAAGGAUUUAAUUUGUUUAAGUCGUUAAAUCAAAUUCCAAGAAAUUGCCAACCUAAUGUAAAUGAUGUUGCAAGUUACCAGAAAGAACCUGGGAAUACAGCCCAAAGAAUUCCAUAUAAUCUCCAAAUUUUAAGAGAGCAAAAAAAACCAGAACAAUGUGCUCGUGUUGUUCAUACAGGCAGACAAGGAAUGCCUUACCUUUCAACGUUGGAAGAAAAACCUAAAGAUGGAGGGUCUGCUCAAAACCUGAUUGGUGCUGAGGUUCACGGUAGAGUUGAUGGAGCAUUCGACUCAGGUCUUCUGAUGACUGCAACUGUUAAUGGGAAGAUCUUUAGAGGAGUCUUGUUUUCACCUGGACCUGAAGUUGUAUCAAGAGGGGCUAUUCUACCGCAAAAUCAUGCAUCUCCAGCAAACCACAUUGUCAAUGUUCAACAAUUUUCUAACUCAGUUCGGAUGGAAUCCUCAAAGCCUUCACAGCAGCCAACGAUAUUCCCCUCACAAGAAUCCGGUCAGAGUUUCCGGCAGACUCAAAUGACUAGAACAUAUCCAGUAAUAAGAGCUGCUCCAUCAUUAGCCAAAGAACCAAAGCUGAUGAGAAGUGAUCUUCAAGGAGUUGUCCUAACACUGGGAGGACCUGCAACUGCAAGUGGCCAUGUUGGACAAAUCUAAAGUCGUAAUCUUCUUCUCCCAUGUACAACCAAAGAA